UGUGGGAGCUGGCUUGCCUGCGAUGGCAUCACUUCGGUCUGUCUUAUACACCGAGGUGAUGGCAUCGCAGGCAAGCCAGCUCCCACA
rnacentral:misc_RNA from 1 species